rnacentral:rRNA from 1 species
GACGAACGCUGGCGGCGUGCUUAACACAUGCCAGUCGAACGGAAAGGCCCUGCUUUUGUGGGGUGCUCGAGUGGCGAACGGGUGAGUAACACGUGAGUAACCUGCCCUUGACUUUGGGAUAACUUCAGGAAACUGGGGCUGAUACCGGAUAGGAGCUCCUGCUGCAUGGUGGGGGUUGGAAAGUUUCGGCGGUUGGGGAUGGACUCGCGGCUUAUCAGCUUGUUGGUGGGGUAGUGGCUUACCAAGGCUUUGACGGGUAGCCGGCCUGAGAGGGUGACCGGCCACAUUGGGACUGAGAUACGGACCAGACUCCUACGGGAGGCAGCAGUGGGGAAUAUUGCACAAUGGGCGGAAGCCUGAUGCAGCAACGCCGCGUGCGGGAUGACGGCCUUCGGGUUGUAAACCGCUUUCGCCUGUGACGAAGCGUGAGUGACGGUAAUGGGUAAAGAAGCACCGGCUAACUACGUG